rnacentral:rRNA from 1 species
UACGAAGGGUGCAAACGUUGCUCGGAAUCAUUGGGCGUAAAGCGCACGUAGGCGGCUUCGCAAGUCGGAUGUGAAAUCCCUCGGCUCAACCGAGGACGUGCAUCCGAAACUGCGAAGCUUGAGUACUGAAGAGGAUCGCGGAAUUCCCGGUGUAGAGGUGAAAUUCGUAGAUAUCGGGAGGAACACCGGUGGCGAAGGCGGCGAUCUGGGUCGAUACUGACGCUGAGGUGCGAAAGCUAGGGGAGCAAACAGG